rnacentral:rRNA from 1 species
AGCGAACGCUGGCGGCAGGCUUAACACAUGCAAGUCGAGCGGGCCCUUCGGGGUCAGCGGCGGACGGGUGAGUAACGCGUGGGAACGUGCCUUCUGGUCUGGAAUAACCCUGGGAAACUAGGGCUAAUACCGGAUACGCCCUUUUGGGGAAAGGUUUACUGCCGGAAGAUCGGCCCGCGUCUGAUUAGCUAGUUGGUGGGGUAAAGGCCUACCAAGGCGACGAUCAGUAGCUGGUCUGAGAGGAUGAUCAGCCACACUGGGACUGAGACACGGCCCAGACUCCUACGGGAGGCAGCAGUGGGGAAUAUUGGACAAUGGGCGCAAGCCUGAUCCAGCCAUGCCGCGUGAGUGAUGAAGGCCUUAGGGUUGUAAAGCUCUUUUAUCCGGGACGAUAAUGACGGUACCGGAGGAAUAAGCCCCGGCUAACUUCGUG